rnacentral:lncRNA from 1 species
AAAUCCAUCAAUCCUAAUUUAAUGGGAGAAUAUUCAGGUAGACAGUAAUUGAGUUGGAAUUUGGCCAAAGCCUUGGGGUUAAAGAACCUACUGUUAUGAAAUGUGUUAGAGGACCUUUAAUGAAUACAGACAAUUCAGAUCAUGGUUUCCUCUCUUUGGCAAGGGGUAGCAGAAAAUGCUGCUUUGCCUCCAGGAAUAAUUUGGUGCCUGUAAUCAGGCUGGGGCAUUGAAAAAAAAAUAUGCCACUUCUGAAACACCAGAACCAUUUCCUUACCAAUGAAGAUCUCAGUGUGUUGACCUGUAGGAGGAGUAGCUGGCCCAUGUAUUUUAGUAAUAACCUUCACAUCAGUACUGGGAAAUAACCACUAAGCAAGUAAAGAAAUCCUUAACUAAUUUGAAAUUACUUACAUUAGAUUCAACUAAAUUGGGGAUUUCUUGGCUAUUUUCUAAUCUCAAAAAAUCUGCUGGUUUGCAGAAUAAUUUCAAACAAAUUUAUUAAGCCCUUCAGUUAGGCUGGAUGAGAAGAAGGUCUCCAGACUUGCUGCUUUCCAUAGAUAGGUAUAUCCAUACCCAUAAGUUCUUCUGGAUUUCUUGCACAUAUUUAUUUCUAACUAUAGCUAAAGGUUGGAAAAGGGACUGGGAAAAAAAAAAAAAAGGACUGGAAAAGUCCUUGGCAGCCUAAACAUGAGGGAAAAUUGAUGCCUUACAGAUACUAGAAUUGUUUGCCUUUUAAGAUCUCCAGGUAAAAAGAACUGUGUCAGCCAGCUGAAGCCCAAAUGUAAGUUAUUGUAUGCACAGAAGGGAUUGUAUUUUGUUGUUUUAAACCACAUUUAGUGUGGGAUACUUUAUCAGCUGAAUCAGAGAAGUCCCUUUAAAAGAAACAGCCUUUAAAAUGCCUAUGAAAGUAUUUACUUCAGAGAUUAAAAAAAUACGUAAGUCGAACUUUAUAUGGGUGCUUAAAUUUUUCAAUAUUUUGAAUAUUGAAAUAUAAAUAUUUCAAUAUGUUGAAAAUACCUGAAAUUCUGGAUAUAUUGUGCUGCCUUGCAUCAGGACAGCUCCCCAGAGCAGGAGUGAUUUUGUAAUGCUACAUGUUAAAGCUAAAUUCUUGCUAAACUAGCAGAGGUGAUGGUUUAUUUGUACCUUCUUUAAGUAUGCAUUUACUCUUCAUUUAAAGCUCAUAGUGGGUGUAGUUCCCAGAACACUGACAGAGAAGGACCUGACAUACCAAGUAUCUCCAGAAACUCUGGCAUUAUUACAACCUGUAACAUUUACACCUCUGUGUGUGUAAUGGCUCAAGUAGUAUUGGGUCAAUCAUACUUAGGCCAACCAGUGCCCUGCUACAGAGUUUAGUGGGCCUGAGAGUGAACCUCCAUUCCAAAAUCUGCAUUAAAAUUUAUAUAUUUAACUUUGUGCUUCUAUUAAAAAGAGUACUUCCUUUGUACAAGCAUACUUUGAAACACAGUAUGUGUUCUGUAUUACUGGGAUUAGAUUUUGGAAGGUAAAAUCAACUUUGUUUAAAAACAUACACAGGAGGUAAACUGAGUAACUCAUUUUUAGUGCCCUGUCUGAGAUUCCCUGCAUUCCCCUAAUGCUUUCCCCUCCAGUCUCAGUCCCUAGAAACAAAUAGACAGCAAAACCUGGGCAAGUGGUUAAUUCCUUCAAGAUGACAUGGACUUGGAAUCCAAAGAAAUAUUAUUCUUCCUUUUAUAUUUGAUUUUUGGUUUGGAUUAUUCGAGGAUAUUUAUCCUUCUCUCUUGGAAUAAUUUUGCUUUUGGAAUAAUUUCAGAGAACAAACAUAGUACAUGGUUUAACUUACUGCGACCCACUGGCUCCCAGAAUAACUUCUACUGACUUAUUUCUCAACUGUUGGCUAUGCCCUGCUGGCUCUUAACUCCUUUCCUGCCCCUCAGAUCUGGAAUUGCUGCCGAGAUAUUUUUCUUGAGGACCUCUUAUUUCUGAUUUACUGUGUGCUUCUCUAAGUAAAGGAAUUACAUGUCUGUAAAGUAGUAGGAAGCUGCUGAUGCUUUUUGAGAGCAGAACCACACACAGGAGACCCAUAGAAUUUGCUUUGUAAUUGAAUGGUACAUUUCUCAGCAUCCAGAUUUUUAGCUGUUGUGAUUUCUCUUUUAAGAUGAUAAAUCCUUCAGAGGUUGCCAUGCAUUCCUAUUAAAGACAGCUAGAAUAUAUUUCCCAAGCUCAUAAUAAUAAGUUGCUUGUGCACAGACUGCCAAAGAAUCUCCCUUUAGAGUUUUGUGUAAUCCUCCAGUAACCUUGUGCAAACUUCUCCUGGGAUGUAACAGAAACUUGGCACCUUCUUCUGCCUGUCCCCAAGUUGGGCUGGUGCCUCUCGGAGCUGUGCCCUGCACUGUUGCUGAGGGCUUGUUUUUGUCUUUGGACUGAUUGGAUCUUUCUUUUGGAGGCCAGGUUGUGCCAGCUCCACCAGGGCUGAGCGGUCCCACUGUGCUCAGUGAAACCAUUCAUGGAGCGAGGUGAGCUCAGGAGCUGCUCAAUGGGAGCUGGGCUGGCACCGUCUGGCCCUUGGAAGCAGAGAGAGGAAAGUCUUUUCCUCCUUUUGUGAAAAGCAGAGAGCAUGUGUAACUGAGAGGGAUGGUGAGCAGGAAUGUGUCAGGAAGAAGUAGACAUGGGAAAGAAAUGAAUCUUUGAUUCGUUAUCACAGAACAGCAGCUAAGCUGGAGCCAAAAAAUACUUGAGGGAUUUAACAUGAGAUCUAAAUUUUAUUUUAGAGUUCAUGCUGCAAUUUCACUGCAAUGACAAAAAUGAUUCAACUGAAUAAUUCAACUGAAGCUGAUAAUUGUUACGUUUUUCUUGGUGGUUUGAUGGAUGAACUGAUAUUGAAGUUUAAAAAUCUCUCUCCUUUUAGCGAAAAAAAAAAACAACCAAGAGCCACUGUUCUGCUCCAGAGCACAUGCUUGAGAAGGGCUGGAUAUACAGUGCAUUUGCUGCUGCUGCUGCAGAUGUUGGUGAAUGUGGAUAUGGACACAGGAGUGAGUAUCAAUAUACUGUAAAACCUUGAAAAUAUAAAGGAAUACAUAUCUUCUUUUUUAUAUUUGUUUUGUUGUUGUUGUUUUUAUUUGUUUGUUGUUAGUUGUUUUUGGUUUAUUUCUUUGUUAAAUUUGGAGAGUAGUGCAUUUCAUUGAAACCAUGAGUAUUGCUGCACAGCCUGAGUAUUGCUGCACAGGUUUGUUUAAACCAAAGCAAUUGCCUGUCCCUAGCCAUUACUCAUAGCUGUGAGAAAACUUCACAGGACUUAGCUUAGGCAUCUCCUAGUCCCUGGAGCUUAGAUAUAGUCCAGGACACACCAUGUGGAUAAACAAGAGGGUUGACACAGCUGUGCAGGAGCUGUGAGGAGAUUUUGGAGCAGACAAGCAGGAACAGCUUUGGGUAAUUGCCAUUGCACCAGAUCCUGCUCUGAAAAUGCUGUCCCUCCCACACAUAACAGUGUCUUCCUUUCUGGACAUUGGAGACUACCCUGGUCUGGGACAGGGGAAAGUAAAUUCUCAUCAUCAGUGCGGGGCCCAGCACUUGGUUUUCUUUCACCCAAAGAGCAGGGGGAAUAUCCUGCAGGGAGCUGGGCUGCUCCAGCUGGAGCACACCCAUGUGUUCCCCUUCUCCACACACACCUGGAUCUGCACUUCCUGCCCAGAGCAUGCACUGGAGACUCUGCCAGGACACCUGGUCCUUCCUGCUCCCUGGGAGUGUCAUCCACAUUGGACUGCACUGUCCUUAUAAACAGACCCUGCUCAUGGCAGUAGAAGUACUCCUAAAAAAUGAAAUGUUAAAUAAAACCAACUGCGAGUGCUGGAGGAAGAACCACUGGCGUGGAUCAGAGGGUUACAAUUCCCAGCCUCCAUGAGGACACACGUCUCAAAACAGUUCUCUAGUUGAAAAUUAAUUCUCAGAACAACUUCAAGUUUUUUUAAGCAACUGCUCAAGUAAAAGGAAUAAUCACUUUCUGUAGCACCAGCUAAAUAAUUGAAUGCAGAUCUUAGCAGAAUAUUAUCCGUCCAAGGACAGUGGUUGCAUAAUUAUUUCAUAUGAUAUAAAUAUUUAGAGAUUACUUUUCCCGUAGCAAUUAAAUCAAUCUAUUUGACUUAAAAUCAAAACUGAAUUUAAAAUGCUUAAUUUUUCAAAAAACUUAGUAUUUUUGGGUCUGCAGUGUAAAUUGAAAAUUUUAAAAAGCCUGUUAUAUUUUGAUUAAAUUGAUCUUUUUUUUUGGUUGCUCUUAUGGGUUGUAAAAGUUGAAGUCUGAAAACAGGGAGACUGGCAAGGAGACUGAGAAAUUAAUAGGCAAAGUCAUGUAAGUAAGAAUCUACCCAAAUGCUGAAAUUUAAAAAAAAAUAAAUUUGGUCAAAUAUGAAGUUCUGCAUCAAAAUUGCAUAUGUUCUCUUAGCACUGGAGCUGGUGAGGCUACCCUAGCAAACCUUUCUCAGAGGAGAUGUCACCAGAGCACAGGGGUGAAUGACUAAUCCAUCCCUGCCAAAAGCAUCUCCUGCUGAUUACAGGUCACGCGUGCUGCCUGGCUGCCUCAUGAGCUACCUCAUGCAUAAAAAAAUGGAUACUCAACAGCACAGGUAUCAUAAUUUUAUAAUCUUUUCAUUACUUAGACAUUUCUAUUUUUCUAAGGUGUUUCAUAGGCAUUGCAAGUAUUUACUAUGCAAUGAAAACUUUCUAUAAUAUACUUUUAAAUCAAUCCCCCUUGUCCCAUACCA